GCAAUACCAAAAGUUAGAAUUUUGGUUGCCCCCGCAUUUUGCGCAUUUAAACUUUUUGGUAUCUGUAGUGUCCGAAGGGAGGAACCGGCACAAGCCUAUCUAAUGGCUGGAUCUGUAACCACUGGUUUCAUAUUUGUGGCUUGUCGGCUCCUCCACAAGCUUCCUUCUCAUUCAACCCACCAGCCAGUGAACACCAAAAAGCUAAAUCCGACCCUGUAAACAAUGUGCUGAUAGCCUUGCUGGCGGCUGCAUCCUUAGUUGUCAGUCAAAAUGUGCAGAGCCAUUAAAUGAUUUAUUAAAAAAUUUUGAUUAUUUUAUUAGCACUCGUUCCAGGCACACGCACUCACAAUCGUUGACAGCGGUUUAAGCGAAGAUCAAAACCCUACGAGUUCAGAGAGUUGACCUAACCGUUUCGCUGUGUGAAAGGGUAGCCAACCUUUAGGUCGAAGGGAUCAAAAUACCAAAUGUCAAACUUCGGGUUUUCAAAAAAAUACCUAUCAAAGAUAAAAGGGUCCGAACAGUGUCGAAGACUAAUUUAGAUAGUGAAGUGCGCGCCGUAUAAAAGUAAAAAUUUAAAGUCCAUAAAGUCAAAAAGGACGUUACAAACAGAUUGAAAGUGCUUAAUUCUAAAUUUCUAAAUGCUAAUAGUAAGGUUAGUGUUAUUUAGAGUAAAAUUGUUAAAAGUGUGUUAAAUUCUAAUUUUGUUAAC